GGAGGGUGCAAGCGUUAUCCGGAUUCACUGGGUUUAAAGGGUGCGUAGGCGGGUAAGUAAGUCCGUGGUGAAAUCUCUGAGCUUAACUCAGAAACUGCCGUGGAUACUAUUUGUCUUGAAUAUUGUGGAGGUGAGCGGAAUAUGUCAUGUAGCGGUGAAAUGCUUAGAUAUGACAUAGAACACCAAUUGCGAAGGCAGCUCACUACACAAUCAUUGACGCUGAGGCACGAAAGCGUGGGGAUCAAACAGGAUUAGAUACCCUGGUAGUCCACGCCCUAAACGAUGAUUACUCGACAUCAGCGAUACACUGUUGGUGUCUGAGCGAAAGCAUUAAGUAAUCCACCUGGGAAGUACGAUCGCAAGAUUG
rnacentral:rRNA from 1 species